GGGUCAGGCAAGGUACAGGAAGGAAUGUAGGUGGGGAAUAGUGGAAGGCACCAAAACAUCGCAAUAUAUUGAAACAGCUGUGGAUCCGAGUGGAAGGCAGACUGCGUUGGAUAAUACAGAAGGUUGGGUGAGCGAAGAUUGAAUAGAACAUCCUGUAUGGAAAGCAAGAGAAGACACAGAAGAAAAUGUGAAAAACUGGUGAAAGGACAUCAGCAAUGUAAGAUCUGCAGAUGACACCAUAUUACCUGUCGAAAAUAGCAAAGACUUGGAGUGAUUACUGAUGAAAGUAAAGAAAGAAAGUGCAAAGGGAUUACAAUUGAACAAGAUAAGAAAAAUAAUGU